GGUCAGCUGACACAUCCCUGCCAAUCUCCAGCAGACCCUCCCUCCCAGACCCUUCCACCACCUGGACAGCAUCCAUGUUGAAGCUGCCUUCAACAUGGAUGCUGUCCAGGAAGUAGGAGGGUCUGGGAGGGAGGGUCUGCCGGAGAUUGGCAGGGAUGUGUCAGCUG